rnacentral:hammerhead_ribozyme from 1 species
AUCUAGCUAACGAGUUCCUAAAUAGGACGAAACGCGCUUCAAACUAGAU